UAAAGUCUGAGUCUCAAGCCUUUUAAGC
rnacentral:piRNA from 1 species